GACGAACGCUGGCGGCGUGCCUAAUACAUGCAAGUAGAACGCAGUUGCCAACGGGUGAGUAACGCGUAGGUCACUGCCUCAUAGCGGGGGACAACUAUUGGAAACGAUAGCUAUUACCGCAUACUGUGAGAUCGACCUGCGUUGUAUUAGCUAGUUGGUGAGGUAACGGGUAACCAAGGCGACGAUACCUAGCCGACCUGAGAGGGGGAGCGGCAACACGGGAACAGGGACACGGCCCAGACUGCGGCGGGAGGCAGCAGAAGGGAGACGUCGGGAAUGGACGGAAGUCUGACCGAGCAAGGCCGCGUGAGGGAAGAAGGGUGUCGGAUCGGAAAGCGCGGUUGGUAGAGAAGCGGUAACGAACAAGAAGGGGACGGCUAACUACGUGCCAGCAGCCGCGGUAAUUC
rnacentral:rRNA from 1 species